rnacentral:misc_RNA from 1 species
GUUUUCAUUCGAAUACCUGUUUGUGUCACCUGGUUCUUAAGAACCGGUUUAUUAGCAAGGCUAUAUAAAGAAUUACUCAGGUGUUAAAUACCAGUUUAGGACGACACGUACAGCGGAAAGUUUAAAUUCGGCAUGCAGAACGAGGAGAUGUCGGGCGGGGCUCAGGCAGACAUGCUACAAGCCAUUCUCAACAAAAUGAAUGAACAGAAAAUGGACAUGGAGAAUACUAUGGCAAUGCAACUUGAUAAUUUUAAAAGAGAAUUACAGGGGGCAACUUCCUCCGUAUCGUCUGAAGUGAAGAAGUUAAAGUCAGAACAAGCGAUAGUCUGGAAACAUCCAGGUAACAAAGAUCAAUUUGAACAUAACGAGAAGAUUAUUGAUACGUUGACGCAGGCUUCAUGGGCCUUGAAUAACAAUAAAUAUGAUUAUUGCAAGGAACUUAUUCAUGAAUCAGUUGAACUUUGUAAUAAACGUAACAAACUUAUCAAAAUGGCUGAUGCAUCACCUUGUGGGUGGAGUACAGUGAAAAAUUAUGUAACCAAUCCAUUGGCUGAUGAUUCGGAUGACGAAAAACGAAUGUUUAAAGCGGAAAAUAAAGCCAUGAAAGAAAAGAAAGAAAAGGAGAAGCAAAAAGAAAAACUGAAAUCUAAGAGUAGCUAUUCUAAUGUUAGGAGCAGUGCUCCUUAUUUUCCUUUUCCAGCUAGACAGCCUUUUCGUGGCCCAACGCCCUUUGGCUUCCCCAUCAUGCCAGCUGCAUCCAGAUUUCCCAUUGGCUGUUUCCACUGCGGAAAACCCAAUCACCAAAGAAAAGAAUGCCCGGAGCUUAAGUCCGCUAAAUAGAGAGGCUAAACAGUCUAAAGAAUCAUCUUUGAUAAAAGAUAAUUGUUUUUUCAGGUAUUUGAAAGAGAUUUGAUUCAGUUGCCUUCAAAGUUGCGUGAAAAGGUGUAUGCACUUCCUGGGAUUAUGCAAGCGUCACGAGCGGAUUCAACUAUAAACAAAUAUUGUAACAGUUUCCUGAGAUUUAAGAAGUGGGCAAAAGAACAAGGAAUCGAGGAAAGUGAAUUAUUUCCUUCAAAACCUUUACAUGUAUCUAUUUAUUUAGCAUGCUUGGUUCAACGGGCAAACUCUCCAUCCCCUAUUGUUGACGCAUUCUAUGGAAUCAAAUGGGCUCAUGAUCUUGUGGGAUUCAAUUCUCCGACUGACAAUCAGUUUGUUAAAAACAUUAUGGAAGGUGGGAAACGUAUAGUGGCAAAACCUGUUCAAAAGAAAGAACCAAUAACUGUUGAAAAUUUACGUUGUAUGUAUUUGAAACUGUUUGAAUGUAAUAAUCUUUAUAAUCAAAGAAUCAUUUGUAUGGUCUUGUUGGCAUUCGCUGGAUUUUUACGUAGCAGCGAACUCAUAAAUAUCAAGAGAUCUGAUAUUCAAUUUUUACCUGAUCAUAUUGAAAUAUUCAUCGAGUCUAGUAAGACUGAUAUCUACAGAGACGGUACAAGAGUUGUUAUAGCAAGAACAUUUUCAUAUAUGUGUCCUGUUUCUAAUUUUGAAUUGUAUCUUCGUUUAGCUGGGAUUCAAGACGAUUCAGAGGAAUAUGUAUUUUGUGCUAUUUCGAAAUCGGGAAGUGGUUACCGGUUGCGUAAUCGUGAAAAGCCUCUGUCUUACACCAGGGUUCGUGAAUUAUUCAUCGAAGCAUUUACAGGAAUUGUAGAUAACAUCAAAGUUUAUGGACUUCACAGUUUGCGGUCAGGUGGAGCGACUGCGUCGGCAGUGAGGGGAAUUCCGGACAGGAUAUUCAAGAGACAUGGACGUUGGCGUUCGGAAUCUGCUAAGGAUGGAUAUGUCCAGGAUCCGCUUAGUGAACGUUUAAGUGUUUCCAAAGAACUUGGUUUAUAAUAGUUGUAAUCAUGUUGUUUAUUGAUUAUAUUGUAUUUUUUUUUGUAUUGAUUUUUCUGAAUAUAUAUGAAGUUGG